GACGAACGCUGGCGGCGUGCUUAACACAUGCAAGUCGAACGGAGAAGCCCUGCUUGUGUUGGGGGCUCGAGUGGAGAACGUGUGUAUAACGUGUGUGUAACCUGCCCUUGACUUUGGGAUAACUUGAGAAAACUGGCUCUUAUACGAGGUGGUAACUCCUGCUGCAUUGUGGGGGUUAGGGAGUUUCGGCGGUUGGUGAUGGACUCGCGGCGUAUCAGCUUGUUUGUUGGGUAUUGGCUCGCCAAGGCUGAGGCGGGUAGGCCGCAUGAGAGGGUGGACGGCCACAGUGGUCCUGCGAUAGGGACCAGAGUCGUAUCGGAGGCAGAAGUGGAGAACAUUGCACAACGGGCGGAAGUCUGAUGAAGCAACGUCGCGUGCGGGAUGCCGGCUCACGAGUUGUAAACCGCCUUCGCCUAUGACGAAGCGGGAGUGACGGUAAUGGCUCAAGAAGCCCCGGCUAACUACGUG
rnacentral:rRNA from 1 species